GGCCACACUGACGGUAACGUUGCAGGUCGUCUUGCAGGGCUUCUCGCAAGACGACAUCCUCAUCACCAACGACGUGCAGCUCCAGGUAGCGGUUCUGACGCAGGGCAGGGA